rnacentral:lncRNA from 1 species
AGAAAAGGAGAGAGAGAGAGAGAGAGAGAGAGAGAUCUUUUAGAAUAAAAUCUCAACUAGCUAUAAAUUUUUCAUUUUAGCUCCGAUUGAAGUGAUUCUUGAGGCGUUAUAAUCGUUAGGAAACCAGCUUUCUUUUGAGAUCAACAAUGCAGAUUUUGGAAAGAGAAUUUUAGAGAGGGAAAAUGUGCAUUGUGUUCAAUUUUUUAUUAUUUUGAGUCAAUAUAACCGUUGGAUUUUCAAAUAAAUAGCACAGAUGAACUCCCCAUAAAGCAAGCUUUUAGAUGCCAUUGGUUUUACUCUGAUGGGACACUAUUUACGAUCCGACGAUCAAAAGUGUUUUGAUGUUUCUAGUCAAUCAUUGACUGUUUAGGAAUAAAAAAUACCUGAACCACAUGAUAUACGCAUUGAGAUGAGUCUAAUAGUGUCUUCGGAUCAUCGAAUUGACAUUAGCGACUGCUGACGAGUAGACGAGCGUAACACGCGUUUGGGUAAAUUUCUAACUGUAUAACAUCUUCUAAUUUAAUUUAAAUUUAGAGUAAUUAAUAAUUAAGUAUGUAUGAUUGCAUUGUUAUAUUUAUUUUUGAAAAUAGAAAUAAAGAAUUUAAUUGGUUAAUUUGAUUAUAUUUAUUAUUUAUUUAGAAGUUUUAAUUAAAAAGAAUUGAUAAUUAUAAUUAAUAGAUGGAAACAAGUUUUCUUUGUAGAACAACUUGAAUUAGCAAAUCCUUAUAUGGUUGAUUGUCGUAUGGUUAACUAAUUGAAUUUAUGUGUGUGUGUGCAUUUCUUUUUAGUUCUAGAAGUUUAAAUCUAUUAAAGUACAAAUUUAAUAUUUUUAUUAUUUUCAAUUAAAGUUAUAAAAAUUCAUUGGUAUUUAUAGGUAAAAGAGUAGCAUUAUUAUAGAUUAUUAUAACAAUUUUAUGGAAAAGCAAAUUAAUUUUUUUUUCUUUAAGCUUGUGUAUUUGUAAUUAAUUCUUUAUCAACUUAGUGUUAAGUCUUAUUCUUUUAAUUCAAUUAUUAAGUUUUAUUUUAUUUUAUUUUAUUUUAUUUUACUUCUUUAUUAGUAUAUAUUUAUUUAGUUAACCUAUAAAAUAACAAUUUAAAAACUACUUUCUCUUUUAUCAUAAAGUCUAAAGCUUAAGAAUAUCGAUCUUCUUAGAUUUAUUUUCUAAAUAUUUUAUAAUAGAUAUUAGUUACUUAUUUAUAAAUUAUGUAAUUGCUAUAUAGAAUUUGUUAUGGAUCAGAUUGUAGUAAUUGGUGUGAAUUGUCGUGGAAUCCAACCUAGGUUGUGUUGUGGUUAAGGAUAUUAUUAAAGUAUUUAAGCAGGAAAUGGAUCGUUUUAUGGGGGGGAAAUAUAUUCAUAUAUUAGAGGAGGUUCUGUCAAAUUUUCAAUAGAGAUUUCAGUAGAAUUUAAAUAGAGUACAAGUGGUCAAACUUUUAGAAGAGUUAGGAUUAGAUUAUUUCAUAAAUUUUUGUAUUGAUUUAAUUAUUCCUUAUUUAGAUAUUCUAACAAGACAGUCAGCUCCGUUAAAAGUUUAGCAGUUUUAGAAGUCAUCUAAUUUGUAAGUUAAAGUCGUAUAAUUUAAACAUGUUGUUUGCAUAUGUCAAUGUCCUAAUAUCAUUAUUAUUAUUGUUAUUAUUAGUAUUAUUAUUAUCAUUGUCACUAUUAUUAUCAUUAUAAUUAUUAUGAUACUUGUCAUUAUUGAUAUUACUGUUGUUGCGUUACUAAUUAAUAUAUCAUUAUUAUUAUUCGCGUUACUAUUAUUAUUAUUAUUAAAAAUAUCAUUAUUAUCUUGAUGUAAUAAUUAUUAUUUGUUAUGUGUAAUAAAUGGAAUUUGAUUGAUUGUGAAUGAUGGAUGUGAGCUUCAACAGACAUAUGCCACUUGAUAGGUUAUAUCAAGACUGUGCGCGCACUGGUGGAAAUUAGAGACAUGUAUAAUAUGAUAUAUAUAUAUACAUGAGAUGUCCUAGUCGAGCAGAGCUCUCUAGUUUUAUGAGGAUCAGUAGUUGCCGGAUAAAAGGCCCCUAGUCAAGCUUAGCUCUCUAGGCGCCGGUUAUAUUGGAAUAAGUGACCUGAUUGGAUUUUAAUUAAGGACCUUAGUCGAGCUUUGCUCUUUGGGCGCCAAUAAUAUUAGAUUAAGAGAGCCUAUUGGCUUGUAAAUUUGGAGUCUAGGGUUCUGCUAUUGUUCUCGUCCUAAUAUAUUUGAUGCUUUAUAAAAUUAAGCAUCAUGGUUCCCGAUAAACAAUGAUGGAAUGCUCUUGUAAAACAAUUUCUAGAAAUAAGACAAUAUUAAAGCACAUUUACUUUGAACUAUAUUAAUUCAGAAUAAAAGUCAUUGUAUUUUAAUAAUAAAAAAAUGUAUUACAUAAUUAAUCAUAAAUGAUAUUGUAUAUAUGUUUUCCCGGUUACCUAACAUACCUUUUUUUUGGAUGGUGAUUUUUCUAGGAAAGAUUGCCUUGUAUCUCUUUUGUCACAACCUAAACUUCGGGUCGGACCAACGCUAGAAUAUGGGUGAUGCAUGUGGCUACCAGUGCCCAUAGCAAUUUGAACUUAUUUCACACAUCUAAUAUUUUGUAAUUUAUAAUUACUAACAUUUUCACACACAAAUUCAAUAACUACAACAUAUAAACACCUCUAAUAAAGAAUUAAUAUUAAUUCUUUAUGCUAGCUGACUGUAAUUGCGGAAUGACUAGAUUAAGUAGAGUUACAAAUAAAUUAAGUUCUACAAACGCACUACUAUAGAAGAAAAUAACGUGCAAUGUGUAUAAAAAAAAGUGACUGGAAUUCUGGUAAAACAACAAUGCAAUAUUAUAGUUGAUUUUAAUAUUUAUAGUAGCUAAUGUAAUUUGUUUUAUAUUUUUUUGCAGGUCCCUUCAUCAAAAAACAUGUUGAAUUACUAUAUGUUUUAUCCUUUUAUUGAUGUGUAAUAAGAUGUUAAACAAUUAUUGGAUGAUUAUAUAUUUUCCAAACAAUAUUUGCAAUAAAUAUUUAAGCUUAUUAUACAUUA